rnacentral:rRNA from 1 species
GAUGAACGCUAGCGGCAGGCUUAAUACAUGCAAGUCGUGGGGCAGCAGGACUGUAGCACUACAGUUGCUGGCGACCGGCAAACGGGUGCGGAACACGUACGCAACUUACCCUGAACUGGGGGAUAGCCCGGGGAAACCCGGAUUAAUACCCCGUAAUAUAAUGGAGUGGCAUCACUUUAUUAUUAAAGCUCCGGCGGUUCGGGAUGGGCGUGCGGCUGAUUAGGUAGUUGGUUGAGGUAACGGCUCACCAAGCCUACGAUCAGUAACUGGUGUGAGAGCACGACCAGUCACACGGGCACUGAGACACGGGCCCGACUCCUACGGGAGGCAGCAGUAAGGAAUAUUGGGCAAUGGAGGCAACUCUGACCCAGCCAUGCCGCGUGGAGGAGGAAGGCCCUCUGGGUUGUAAACUUCUUUUAGAGGGGGCGAAACCUGUGUAUUCUUACGCAGUUGACGGUACCCUAGGAAUAAGCACCGGCUAACUCCGUG